rnacentral:rRNA from 1 species
UACCAGACUCCUACGGGAGGCAGCAGUGGGGAAUAUUGCACAAUGGGGGAAACCCUGAUGCAGCGACGCCGCGUGAGUGAAGAAGUAUUUCGGUACGUAAAGCUCUCUCAGCAGGGAAGAAAAUGACGGUACCUGAUUAAGAAGCCCCGGCUAACUACGUGCCAGCAGCCGCGGUAAUACGUAGGGGGCAAGCGUUAUCCGGAUUUACUGGGUGUAAAGGGAGCGUAGACGGCAGCGCAAGUCUGGAGUGAAAUGCCGGGGCCCAACCCCGGAACUGCUUUGGAAACUGUGCAGCUCGAGUGCAGGAGAGGUAAGCGGAAUUCCUAGUGUAGCGGUGAAAUGCGUAGAUAUCUGGAGGAACAUCAGUGGCGAAGGCGACUAUCUGGCACAUAACUGACGCUGAGGAGCGAAAGCGUGGGUAGCAAACAGGAUUAGAUACCCCAGUAU